rnacentral:rRNA from 1 species
GACGAACGCUGGCGGCGCGCUUAACACAUGCAAGUCGAGCGAAGCGGCGGACGGGUGAGUAACACGUGAGUAACCUGCCUUAGACAUUGGGAUAGCCUCGGGAAAACGGGAUUAAUACCAAAUGGUCUAAGAUGGACUCGGGUCCAAGUAGCUAGUGGGUGAGGGAACGGCCCAACAAGCCGACGAUGGGGAGCCGGCCUGAGAGGGUGAACGUCCACAUUGGAACGUAGAAACAGUCCAAACUCGGCGGGAGGAAGCAGUGGGGAAUAUUGCACAAUGGAGGGAACUGUGAUGCAGCGACGCCGUGGGAACGAAGAAGGCUUUCGAGUCGUAAAGUGCUUUUAUAUGGGAAGCGGUACCAUAAGAAAAAGCCCCGGCUAACUACGUGCCAGCAGCCGCGGUAAUAC